rnacentral:rRNA from 1 species
CCUACGGGCGGCAGCAGUGAGGAAUAUUGGUCAAUGGACGAGAGUCUGAACCAGCCAAGUAGCGUGAAGGAUGACUGCCCUAUGGGUUGUAAACUUCUUUUAUAAAGGAAUAAAACGAGGCACGUGUGCCUUUUUGCAUGUACUUUAUGAAUAAGGAUCGGCUAACUCCGUGCCAGCAGCCGCGGUAAUACGGAGGAUCCGCGCGUUAUCCGGAUUUCUUGGGUUUAAAGGGAGCGUAGAUGGGUUGUUCCGUCCGUUGUGAAAGUUUGCGGCUCAACCGUAAAAUUGCAAUUGAUACUGGCAGUCUUGAGUACAGUUGAGGUAGGCGGAAUUCGUGGUGUAGCGGUGAAAUGCUUAGAUAUCACGAAGAACCCCGAUUGCGAAGGCAGCUUACUAAACUGUGACUGACAUUGAUGCUCGAAAGUGUGGGUAUCAAACAGGAUUAGAUACCCGGGUAGUC